rnacentral:rRNA from 1 species
AUUGAACGCUGGCGGCAGGCCUAACACAUGCAAGUCGAGCGAGCGGCGGACGGGUGAGUAAUGUCUGGGAAAAUGUCUGAUGGAGGGGGAUAACUACAGGAAACGGUAGCUCAUACCGCAUACCAUCAGAUGUGCCCAGAUGGGAUUAGCUAGUGGGUGGGGUAAAGUCUCACCUAGGCGCCGAUCCCUAGCUGGUCUGAGAGGAUGACCAGCCACACUGUAACUGAGACACGGUCCAGACUCCUACGGGAGGCAGCAGUGGGGAAUAUUGCACACUGGGAGCAAGCCUGAUGCAGCCAUGCCGCGUGUGUGAAGAAGGCCUUCGGGUUGUAAAGCACUUUCAGCGGGGAGGCGUUACCCGCAGAAGAAGCACCGGCUAACUCCGUGCCAGCAGCCGCGGUAAUUC